rnacentral:snRNA from 1 species
AUCUCCUAUUUCAUUGUCCACCU